CAACCACUAUGGCCCCUGAGCGGACCUUCAGGCCUGGUGGGCUGUGCUCUGUGCCCGCAAACUUGACGCCAUCCAGGGGAGCUCCGCCUUCCCGCGCCAGCGCCUCAGCUGCUGCAGAAAACUGCAAAACUGCAAGUUGCACACGGGCAGAGAUGACGGAGCAACCCCCGACCCUCCGCGCCACUCACCCUACCUGCACACCUGCCGCGCGGACCCUGGGGCGGGUGCCUGGGCGCCCAAGUCAGGCAGUCCGCAGAGCAGUGGCACCAGGGUGAAAACCUGCUGCUCGGUACCAUCCCGGUUACCACGAAGAGCCAGUCCCGGCGGCCCCUGCGUUCUUGAAGGAGGACAAGUCAGAGCAACCUCUCAAGUGGGAGGGCGAUGCACUUGACCCUGAGGACAUCAGGUACCAGGCCCGCCAGCUCACGCCGGCAUCGGAGCCGCAGCUGCAGUCUAGACGUGGUGCACCGGCAGCAAGUGACUGGACACUCCAGACCAGGCCCGCCCCGCAGUAGCGUGGAUCCUGAGGCCAGACCCCCAGGCAGCAAAAUCAGGCAACCGGCCCCGCCAGCAGCCGCUGUUUCAUCCGUGUGGACACAGAGUGCCCAGCGCCAGGGCCCAGGAUCCAGAAAGAUGUCCAAGAGGAGCGGACCUUGAGGCCAGGUGGGCUGUGCGCUCUGCGGCCCUGAGGCCAUCCAAAGGAAGCUCCGCCAUCCUGCGCCAGUGCCAGAUCUGCAGCUGCAAACCGCGCGUGUGGCACUGGCAGCAGUGAGGGCGGGUGGGGGAAGGAGCAGCCCCUGACUCUGCCUCCAUCCCUCUCCAGCUACCUGACACUAGCCACACAGACUUCAGGGCCAGAGCCUCAGCGUUCAGCCAAUCCGCGAAGCCACUCAGGUGGCCGCGGAGUGCCCUUGCCAGCACCGUAUCUCCCUUCCGAGGAGGAGCGGGGCGGGCUGCAAGGCCAGACAGGCCCUCCUUCUCAGGCCGGGCUGGCUGCGCGCCUGCGAUCCUGGGGCCGCCCGGGCGAUCCCAGGAGAACCGGCGAGCCCAUCGGCGCACGCCCAGAGCUGCAGCCCCACCUGCUGGCGCGCGCCGCUAGGGAGCGUCUUCCGGGAGCCCGGCAGCAACCGCGGUGCAGGCGCGCGCCGCCAGGGAGCGUCUUCUGGGAGCCCGGCAGCAACUGCCGUGCAGGCGCGCGCCCAACGGCUUUGCGAGGCUCACUCGGUCUGAGAGGUCGGAGGCUGCGAGUGUCGCUGCUGAAGGCUGUGGUGGACCGGGCUGGAUCGCGGAUUGUGGAGUAGAUUAUAGAUUUGAAAUAGCGGAG
rnacentral:lncRNA from 1 species